rnacentral:rRNA from 1 species
AGCUCCAAUAGCGUAUAUUAAAGUUGUUGAGGUUAAAAAGCUCGUAGUUGAACCUUGGGCCUAGCCUUCCGGUCCCCCUCACCGGGUGCACUGGCUCGGCUGGGCCUUUCCUUCUGGAGAACCGCAUGCCCUUCACUGGGUGUGCCGGGGAACCAGGACUUUUACUCUGAACAAAUUAGAUCGCUUAAAGAAGGCCUAUGCUCGAAUAGUCUAGCAUGGAAUAAUAGAAUAGGACGUGUGGUUCUAUUUUGUUGGUUUCUAGGACCGCCGUAAUGAUUAAUAGGGACAGUCGGGGGCAUCAGUAUUCAAUUGUCAGAGGUGAAAUUCUUGGAUUUAUUAAAGACUAACUUCUGCGAAAGCAUUUGCCAAGGAUGUUUUCA